GUCGGGGGAUACAAUCCUCUGAAACUGGUACUCACUCUGGAAGUGUCAAGCCUGUGAGAUUGCUCAGUGGGUAAAGGUGCGUGCUACCAACCCUGAGGAUCAGAGUCGGAUCUCCAAGGCUCACAUGGUACGGUGAAAUGAGAGACAACCCUGGACAAGGAACAGUAGGACAGUCACAGUGCCUAAGCCAAAGGGCUAUGUAAGUGGAGACUCAGAGUGAAGACACUGGAGAGACCCUGACAUCCUUAUUCUGACUCUUCCCUGGGUACUCCUGACAGCAGAGUGGUUAAGAAAAGUCUUGAAGCAAGCAGUUCAGUGGCUGGACCGCCACCUACUGGUCAUUGUUAGCCACAACUGAGCCGUAGCUUAGGAAAAGAAGCUUUUUUCCUUAGGUGAGUCCAUUCAAUAAUGACAUUAAACCAAAGCCAAAGAAAAAUAACUUUACCUAAAAAUACGGAUGAAGAACCGAACCAAAUAAAAUUAAGCUGAUCUCUUAAUAAAUGUCUGUUUAUUGUU
rnacentral:lncRNA from 1 species